rnacentral:lncRNA from 1 species
GCAAGGCUGCAAGGGCCAUGAUCUCACAUAUCAGUCUCAGGCUCUCAUGUGAUCGUUGUUCCUUCAUCCUUGUUUGUUCAGCAAUCAAUCGCAAUUCCAUGUACAACAGGCUGCAGACUCGACAGUCAGCAGAUGGCAGCAAGGUAUGACAGGAAUCUGAUCUGAAUUUUGGUUACUAAUUAUUGAUCACGUGAUCCCUACUUUGUGAAAUUAUAGUUAGUAAUUGUUUCUCUAAAUUUUUUAAUAGUACCAUG